rnacentral:snoRNA from 1 species
AAGCAAAUUUAAAAACCAAACUCAUAGAAACAGAGAGUAAAAUGGUCAACAUCAAGACUUGAAGUGAGUCUUAUGUGCUAUACAGAUAGUUGAAGGUUAAUUAGCAGUAUAACUAUAAAUAGUAAUGCUGCCAGUCUCCUUCAGACAAGA